UUCAUUUUAUUUUCUCCUGUUAAUUAACUAAUCAAUAAGAUUGAUUAUGAUUAAAUUGUCAAUAGUAUUUGAAAAGGAUUCAGUUGGGAAAAAGUUUCUCAACUAUAAGAUUAACCUGAUUUUCAUGAUUCGUAUAUAUAAAUUUACCAUUAUAAUGGUUGAUUAACUGAUUAUUGAUUGAAUUUGUCUAUUUAUUUAAUCAUUGAAAUUCAGUGAAACAUUUACAUUUACAAUUUAAUUAACUUGGUAAACAAUUAAAUCAUCUUCCGGGUUCACCCAAUUGAGAAAAAUGUUCAUGUUGACAAUACUAAUUUGACGAUUAAUGAUUUUAUUAUAUUUUCACUUUUAAUUACUCUGAUUAAUGAUUUUCAUUGAUAAAUAAUUUUACCUUUUCUCUAAAUUACCAGAAAUUGAUUAAUCAUCCUAAUCAUUAAUCACAACAAUCAACUUUCAACUAUUGUUUACAAUUUUUGUCUCUCUUUCUGAUUAAUAAUAUUAAAAGAAAAGAAGAAGAAAAAAGUUUAAUCAUUACUGACAAUUAACUCGGAAGAAAACAAAAUGAUUUAAUAACUUGGUAACUUAUCAAUUCGUACAAUUUAAAAUUAGUUAAUUGUCGCUAAUUGGAGAAGAAGAAAAAAUUCAAAUUAUUGAUUAGAUUUUUGUUCUUCCCUCUCUUUUUUUUGUUCCAAUGUCAAUGUUAUGGUUACAGAGAGAGAGAAAGAGGAUCAGCUGAUUGACCUUAAGGUCGAACAUGAGUUUCGUUUGUUUUGUUAAUUGUUCUCAGUUAAUUUACUAUUUUUAGAUUAGAAGAACAAUUUUACUUCGCAAUUUGGUACAAUUAAGUUUUCUUCGCAAUUUUGAUUCGAUUAACCUUGGAAUUGGAAAACUCUCUCUUCUAUUUUGAUGGUGAAAAUUAAAUCUCCUCAAGGCUAUCGAUUGAUUUUCCAUGAGUAUAGAAAAUCAAAGAGAUUUUAACAAGUUAUUCUCAUGAAAAUACCAAAAGAGGAAAAAGAGAGAAAAAGAUUAAUCUUGAUGAUUGGUAACACCAUGGAAAUAUUGGGUCUUUUUUUAUAUUCUCUCCCACUCUCUCUGUCUCUUCAUCUUCUGCCAACCCGUUUUGUUUUUCAUCACCAAUCACAGUAAUUUUACAAUUCUUUGUAUGAAUAUCAUGAUGAUCAUCAUAAGUGUUAUAUCAAGUCAAUUAUUCACAGAGAAUAACAAGUUUGACAUGAUUAUCAGAAUAGAAGAGGAUUUGUAGCUUCAUCAUCAUCAUCUUUGUUUCAAGCUUAAAGAGAUGAAAAAUGUUCAUUAAUUUUCUUCUUCCAUGUUAUAUAAUCAAAAGAUUUUCAUGGAAUACAAAUAUUAAUACUAAUCAAGUCUCUAUUUGGAGUCAACGGAUAAGCCAAACAAACACUGGACAUUGACUAUUGAAGUUAUUGUUUUGUAUCAUCUCUCUAAUGAUCUUCUAACAAUUAGUAUCCACAUGUUAUGUUUACAUGUUGAGUAAACUCUCUGGAUUGACGACAUUUACUUAUAUCAUCUGAUAGAUUUUGUGGAUAUUCCUAAUUUGAAAAGAAAUGUCAACAUAAGAAUAAGACGAAAAAUCCCAAAGAUUCGAGCUUCUCUUUCAAGCUUUUGGAAAUCUAUUUCCAUGGUAAAUUCAGGAUUUUUCACCGAUUAAAUUGGAGAAAAUUGUGAAUCCAGUCAAGUGUCCAUGUAGGAAAGCCCAGAAAGAUAGAGAAAAUGUAAAGAAAAAUAGAUAGAAAAUAGAAAGAAAUGAAAGAGAGAAAGAGAGAGAAAAAAUAUAAGACGAAGCAAAACCAGGAAACAUGGAGAAAGAUAGAGAAAAGAAAGAGAAACGAGAAAGAUGAUUCAAUAGGAAAACAUGGACUGCGAAUUCAAGUCCAGUUGAUCUUUGAACACAUCGUCGGACAAUUGAAAAGGCUCCUCUGUUAUUUUUUUUUCUUCUUGGGUUUCAUGAUAAAUUUUAUAUACUUUUCGCCUUUUGUUAUGAAUAAACAAGUAACCAUAUCGGAAACUGAAUAGGAAAUAAUAUGAGAAGAGGUGAAGCCAUGCAAAAAUUUGAGAACCUGAACUGAAUUAUUUUAAAAAUGAUUGGAAAGUUUGUUACAUGGAAAUUAUUUGAUAGAAGAUGGAAAAGGAGAAAACCCAAAAAGAAAAUGAUUGAGGUCAAUUGGUUAACAUGCGAUUACAUGGAAACCAGAAUUUGGAACCAGAGGUUUUUUUCCACCAUGUUAAUAGAUUGUAAUGAUUAAUAAGAAGCAAUUUAUUAAUUU